CUGCAGGGUACACUAGGAGCCUCCCAAGGAGGCCUCUCCUAUCCCAGAAGAUCCCAGGGGUGUCAUAGGCAGGCUCUAAAGUCCCAGGGUUUGGAGCAUGUGGUCGGUGUCUCUCACGGAAGGCCCCCACAUGCAAAAACGGGACGUCAAGGUGGCAUGGGUCAGCCGAAGGGACUCAAGGAAUCAUUGAGGCAGGCAGAGGGGAGAAGCAGCGGGACUGCAGGGGAUGCUGGUAGCCUCCCAAGGACGACUCUCCCAUAACAGAAGUCCCCAGGGGUGUUCUGGGCAGGC
rnacentral:lncRNA from 1 species